UACGUAGGGGGCGAGCGUUGUCCGGAUUUAUUGGGCGUAAAAGGCUUGUAGGCGGCCACCGCGCGUCGGCUGUGAAAUCUCCCGGCUCAACUGGGAGGGGUUCAGGCGAUACGGCGGGGCUCGAGGCCGGUAGGGGGACGCGGAAUUCCCGGUGUAGUGGUGGAAUGCGUAGAUAUCGGGAGGAACACCAGUGGCGAAGGCGGCGUCCUGGACCGGCACUGACGCUGAGGAGCGAAAGCGGUGGGGAGCGAGUCCGG
rnacentral:rRNA from 1 species